rnacentral:tRNA from 1 species
GCAUUAAUGGGGUAGUGGUAACCUGGGUCGUUGCCAUGGGCUAUCAUCAGGUACUUAAAUAGUUUCGACCCGCCGGGGGUUCGAUUCCCCCUUAAUGCA